UAUUUAGACUAAAAACAAGACAUUUUUUUAAGUGUACUGUAGUUCAUGUUAACAUUAACUAACAUUUACUAAUGAAACCUUUUUUAAAGUGUGACCGUUUUAGGAAUAAAAUCAAACAGAAGCUCACGAUUGACAUUUUAAAAGGGUCAGUUCACUCAUCAAGUGAAUCUUUUUUCACACUCAAGUGAUUCAAAACGUUUAUAAGCUUCUUUUGUUGAACACAAAACAAUAUAUUCUGAUGAAUGCUGACAUCCAUAAUGAGACAAAAAAUACUAUGAAAGUCAAUGACAUUUUUUAGAAUAUCUUUCUGUGUGUUAAACAGAGACAAGGACAAGUGGUGGAUGCUUAAACGAUGGCAUAGUUUUCAUUAUUGGGUGAACUGUCUCUUUAAAUGUCCCGAAAGGUUAAACAAAAGCAGCCGUCAGAAAACAAAGCACAAGUGGAUCAACACUGAUGAUGUAAACCAGCUCCUGGCUAACAGGUUUAGAUACAGACUAAUCCAAUCAUAUCGUGUUUCUCCUUUCAGCACAGGGAUUUUAAGUUCUGCUAAAUGUUCUGAUAAUGGACCCGGACGGUGCUGCUUGCAGGAGGUUUGUGAGUGUGAUUGUUUACAUCAGGGAUCUGAAUCCACUUUUAUUUUUUAGCCAUUUUUAUACUCGCAGAAGUUUGCUUAAGGCUUUGAGUAUUAACAAAUGCUUUACAAAAACGAAGGUUUCGGCUCAUUUUAAAGUAGGUUUUGCUCACAACUUUAACCCGCUGAUGUGUGUCAGUCUUUAAGAUUUCUUGUGCUAUUUCAGGACUAAAUCAUUUUUUAUAAAAAAGAUCACUCAAUUAAAACCAAGAAGUUCAUUUUCAUCUCACUAAACGCUUGAGGUCAUUUGUGUUAUUGUGAAAUUCACAUUCGCACAGAUUGUCAAAUUUGACCCCAAAUAAAUCGACUUAAAUAAGCGAUUAUAUUUUGCUUAAAGAAAAUGUACUUUUUUUUUUACAAUCUGACAUUACUUUCAUUGUAAUAAAGCAGAUUUAACCACUAAUUCUCAUCACUGUAACAAUGAUAUUAUUUAUAAUUACGUAGUUACAGUAUAUCAUGGUUAUAUUUAUUGUGGUGCCUUUAUUUUACACAUCCAUUAUUGCACAUUGUUUAUUUAUAUAUAUCGAAAUGCACACAUGAAAGUAAUGUCAGAAUGGACUCAGUUUUCUUCAUGCAAAAUCAUAUUCCUUAUUUGCAUCUUUUGGUUUUUGGGUGUGAAAUGCGACCUGAAUUAGUUUCGUGAGAUUUCUCCAAGCAAUUAUUCAUGCAAGCAGAUUCUUAAAUACAUAUGAUGAUGUGCAGAUACACCUGAAGUGAAGCAAGGAUUGAUUUCGAAGAGAUGUUCAUUAAUUUAUGUGUCCUUUUUAUUGGUUUAUCUGUAAAUGUGAGCCAUCAAUGCUGAUCGGAGAUGCUUCUUCAAAUCAAGUGAAAGCACAGCACUGUAAUAUUCUGUACAUUUAUUUCUCAUCUUUUCUUCUGUGCGGGACUGAUGAAUGUAAUGAGGUUUAGUUUUUCCAGCAUGCUUUUCUUUAAAUGAAGGAAAAAUGGCCGUCAGACACUCAACACAACAUCUCAUAUCAGCUCUACAAAUCUGACACUAAGCAGAAUCACAGGAGUGACUCACUUCAAAAUAAAAUUUGGUCAUUAUUUAUACUCUCAUGAUGUCAUUUGCACAAGUAUGCUGUUUCAUUUUUAUUUUUUUUUUUAAGAAAGAUUGGUCAUGCUUUAGUUUAAAAUAUGAUUCUAACUAUUGUGAAUUUAAUAAUAAACUCCUAAUUUGCUGCUUAUUGAUAGUUAUUAAGGCAGCAGUUGGAUUUAAAUGUUGGGUCGGAUUAGGGAUGUAGAUUAAUAUCAUGCAGAAUAUGUACUUUAUUAGUAUUAAUAAACAUCCAGUAUCUUAAUAACAGGCACGUCAUAAUGCACUAGUUAAUAGUGAGACUUAAAGGGAUAGUUCACACAAAAAUUGUCAACUUACUCACAAUUCACUUGUAUCACAAAGUUUAUUUUUUCUGUUGAACACAAAACCUGUAACCAUUGACUUCCAUAGUAUUAAUUUUUUCUGCUAUGUUUUGCCAAUGGGUAUCAAAAUGUCUUCAUUAGUGAUUUGUAACACCUUGCAAGGGAGUAAAUUGUGAGUAAAGUUUCAUUUUUGGGUGAACUAUCCCUUUAAUUGUUACAAUCUCCAAAAUAAAGGUAUAAUCUGUCACUGAGGCAGUACUAAGAUGCUAAUACCUUUAUAGUAAAAUAUGCACCCUUAAGAUACUAAUAUACAACUUUAGGGUACCAAUACUGAGCCUUGAGGCACUAAGAUACAACUUUAGGGUACCAAUUUUGAGCCUUUAGGUACUAAUAUACAACUUUAAGGUACCAAUUUUGAGCCUUUAGGUACUAAUAUACAACUUUAAGGUACCAAUUUUGAGCCUUUAGGUACUAAUAUACAACUUUAAGGUACCAAUUUUGAGCCUUUAGGUACUAAUAUACAACUUUAGGGUACCAAUUUUAAGCCUUUAGGUACUAAUAUUCAACUUUAAGGUACCAAUUUUGAGCCUCGAAGUACUAAUAUACAACUUUAAGGUACCAAUACUGAGCCCUGAGAUACUAAUAUACAACUUUAAGGUAUUAAUACUGAGCCCUGAGGUACUAAUAUACAACAUUAAGGUACCAAUACUGAGCCUUGAGGUACUAAUAUAAAACUUAAGGUACUAAUAUUUAGCCUUAAGGUACAAAGAUACAAUUUAAGGUUCCAAUACUGAGCCUUGAGAUGGUAAUAUACAACAUUAAGGUGCCAAUACUGAACCUUGAGGUAGUAAUUUACUACAUUAGGGUACCAAUACUGAACCUUGUGGUACUAAUAUACAACUUUAAGGUACUAAUACUGAGCCCUGAGGUACUAAUAUACAACUAUCAGGUACCAAUAACGAGCCUUGAGGUACUAAUAUACAACUUUAAGGUACAAAUGCUCAGCCUUGAGUUACUAAUAUACAACUUUUACGUAAAAAUAUGGACUCUUUUCUGACAGUGUACCCAUUUUAUUUUUAAACAAACUUUAUGCUGAUUGUAAACGCAAACUAAAAAUAAAAGUGAAUUUUGCGGAUCAUUUUCUAAAAGUCACAGGAUUUACGAUAUAUAUCUUAAUGCACAUAGAGUAUUUUUUUCAUGAUACAUUUUAAAUCAUGUUUGGUGGCUUUAAUUGUUCUUGUAUCAAACAACUUGCCCAAAGAGGAAUGUUUUGUGUGUACUUUUUUAUACUUUUCAUUGAAAAGAAUCUUUAAUAUCUCUUUUUUUUAAUAACUCUUUCAUUCUGAGUCUUUAAUAAUCUAAAAUCAUUGGUUCUUUUUAUGGAAUGUUUUUCACGAAGUGCUUCAAAACAUUCUGAGAAAACGUUAAAGUAUCAUUUAUUUCCAAAUAUUAUAAAAUUAAAUGUUUCGUUAAUGACAUUUCAGCUUAUUUGGGAUGUUAGAUUUUUUUAAAUGACCUUCAACGUGGAAAGAGCAUAAAGACUAACCCAAACUGCAUCAUUUAGUGAAACAACAUGAGAGAGUAAAUAAUGACACAAUUUUCAUUAUGAGAUGAAGAAUGUCUGUGAAGUGUCAGAUUGAUUGAACACACUCCUCUGAGUUUAAUAACAUCAUCGCACACAACAGACUGACUCUAGUUAGUGAUACUAGUUAUUUCUUCAGAGUAUUAUUGCUCUAGUAUCAGUUUUGCCUUUCUGUGUCUGAAUUAAGCUUGUUUUUAUGUAUAUUUUUGUGUUGUACUAGGGCAGAAUUUCUCCAUCCCGAUCCUCGCGCUACACCGAUUUGCAUAUUUUGCAUGUUUCCCGGCUGAUUUAGAUCACUAGCUCUUUAGAAGAGUUGUUCCCUACACAGUGUGCAUUCUUCCCUAGUCCCUUCUCCUUCAUUACUGUCUCCCAGAGCACAAGAAACCUUUAUUUAACUUUUAAACAUUCGUUAACGAAUUUACACAACAGCACUGCCUACAGCGUCUUACUAAAGAAACAUGAAGUGUGACCUUUGUAAAUAAACACAAUAUAAAUUAACAUAUAGCACACUAAGAUGCCAUUUCAGUGCAGCAUCUAUGCUCACCUCAAACUGAGUCGCCUUCGCAGGGCACUUGUUGUUGAAUUAAAACAAAUGUUUGAUGUGAGAUAAGCAUCUAAAAAAUGUGCAGAGCUGUGGAGCGUGAGGACCGGCAUUGAGAAACAGUGCUCUGGGGAUAUUAAAGCACAUGUACAGCCGCACUGCAUGUCUGUUAUGUUUGUUUCUGCUGUAACUGUGAAUUAACUCUUGUUGUGUUUGCCAUGUAAAUACGUUGCUAAAUUAUUUCUCGUUUGCCAUCGAGGUACAUUGCGGUUUAUCAGCAAAAAGGCUGAUUCUUCUUGUACAGACAUUAAAUGCCAGUGAACACACGUUUGUGUGAGGAAAUCCAUACUUGAGAAGAUUACUAUCAGUUCUGAUAUUUUCAUUCCUCUGACAUUCAGAUAUCAGAUUGUAGCAGGAAGAAACCUCUUGU